rnacentral:rRNA from 1 species
GACAAACCGGAGGAAGGUGGGGAANAAGUCAAGUCAUCAUGGCCUUUAUGACCAGGGCNACACACGUGCUACAAUGGUAAGUACAGAGGGAAGCCAACUCGCGAGAGGGAGCUAAUCCCAGAAAACUUAUCGUAGUCCGGAUUGGAGUCUGCAACUCGACUCCAUGAAGUCGGAAUCGCUAGUAAUCGCAGAUCAGCAUUGCUGCGGUGAAUACGUUCCCCGGGUCUUGUACACACCGCCCGUCACACCAUGGAAGUGUAUUG